GUUUUGCAAGAUUUAAACUUUGUUUUCUAUUGAGGAUAUCAAUAUUGGAGAACGAUAUGCGACGUAAGAAAUCUAGAUACACAAAAUCUAAGAAAUACAUAUCCAUAUUUGUAAACGUGUACUGUUCCGGAAUAUUCGAUAUCCUAGAGAGAUUACAAAUUCCCGUAGCUACACAAGAAAUGUGUAUGUGUACACGAGCUCUCGAAUAUUCGUUACAUUCUGAAAGGAAACAAUAACAAACGUACGUGUACAGGCGAAGCUUAUUUAUUUCGAGCAGCUGUCCAUUUCACACACUCUUGAUCUAGAGUUUGUCCUGACAAGAUAUAUUAGUACCGUUCAAAUUUCCCGUACGUCGAUUCGUCUCUAAUUCGUGGCUUUCUUCUUUUGAGAUUUACCUAUAAUCUUUUUCUCUUCUAUUUGGUCAAUUUUAUCCGAUUGACACUUGGAUCUGCUAUUUGCUAUUAAAUACUUUAUUUGGGUUCCAAGAAAGCAGUGUGAAGUGUCUCUUUCUCCGUGGCACAGCGAGAGAUCGCAAGAAAUCCGUUUUCUAAGAUUGUGGAUUCACAAGAAAAGAAACUUCCAGUGUGUUCCGAUUUUAAUGAAACUUGUACCACAUUGAUAAAUCGAGAAGUCGGAAAUUGAACUGGAUACGUAGACUGUUCUGUCUUGGAAACGUGCCCUAGUGAACCUUUAAUCAACAUGCUGCCCUUUAACGGAGUUCGUGUGCUGCCGGACAUACCAAAGAAUAUGCCGAAUAGGCUUUUGAUCCAGGAAUUCGAGACUGACUCCUCAAUGCCGACCAACUGCUGUCGAGAUACCGCAACGAAAGCGUCAACUUCGAGCAACCGCAACUUCGUCAAGAAGAUCGUCGAAGCUUACGAGUCAAACGUAAGGGCGCCUAACGAGAAUAGUCAGCAAUCUAAAGAAAAUUCCAAUUUCUUUAAUACUCUUAAUUUCGCCCAGAAUCGAAAGAACGCAGAGAAGAGUGGCUUGAGUCUCGCGACAUAUAAUGCGCCCAGCUCGCACUGUUGGAAAAACUUAAACGGAAAAUCCGAGAUCUUUUCGACUCCGUUCGAGGCGCACAACGUCGAAGAUGAUUUCGUGAUUUUUAAUCGCUAUCAUUCAGAGAGCGAUGAAAAAACAGUUUCAGAGAUGGAAUCUCCUUCUAAGAUUAACAAGAGAAACCAACAAUUGGAUGAUAAAACGAAGAACAAAUUAAUGAUUUGCUCAAGUCCUUUGGAGAAUUCUGAAGACAACGAUUUAGACCGUGAUGAUCUUCUUGAUGAUAUCUUGACGAGUUCUUGCGACUCGAGCAGCAAUAACAGCUACAGAAACUUAAAAGCCAACCUAUAUGACUUUGAAGACAAACAAUGGCAAUCCGUAUGCUCCUCAUCGCUGAAGUCCUCCUGGGGAUUAUCGCUCAAUAACAUAAACAGUGAUGAUGGUAGUCUGAACUCAUCCUUCCAAAAUGUAAACGUUAUAUCUUCCAAAGAUACUCCGAAGAGCCGAAAGAAUCUUCAAGAUUCUAAACCGAAUCCGUCAUCUAAUUUCGAUCGGAAGUCGUCGCAAGCAACCGUCGCUUCGCUGAAUGAUCAACCGAUCAAGAUCGACAACGAUACCUGCGUGACGUGGAUGUCAGCUCUGGGCGAGAAGCUAUCGCGAAAGAGACCGCUGAAAGAGUUAUUGAAGUCGGCAUUCAACACUAAACUAUUGAACUAUAAGAAAGUCUGGAAAAAAUCGGCGGAGAAGCAGCCGAAGGAGCGUACCUCCGGCUCGGGAUUUAUCGAACAGCUUCUGCUCUCUCGGCGCUCCGAUCUCGAUGAGAAACCGUCGGUACCGCCAACUUCCACAACUUUCAGCCACGCGGGGAACGCUUGCGUCAGCGACAAGAUCUGGUCGAAGAGUUCUCGCAUGGUUUUGACUGAAGUGCCUCGCGAAGAAUUCACGAGCGAUUCUAAGCCUUCCGAUUCGACCCUCUGGGUACCUAGCUCAACCACCUUCCGCAAAGAGAGUCGCGUUGAAUCUUCGUCGAAGAGCACGAUGCUACCGAGUUCUUCAAAGUUGGAAGCCUCCUGUGGAUACCCGCCGCUUGCUAAGCACCCUUAUCUGACCCGAAACCGGAUCCGCAAACACCCCUUCGUCGCAAAGACAAAGCUGGAUCAAGAGGCGGAGGAGAAGUCGAUAGGGGAGGAAGAGAUGAGAUGCGACGCGAAGGAAUCUGAGUUGAAGCCUUUGGAUGCGUUGCCUGUGUCUCAAGUUGAAUUAGAUCUCUUGUAUUCCAAUUCCGAGGAAAAAUCGUUGUUUUCAACUACAAACAGAAACUGCGAUCUGUUGAAAUCACGUCCGUGCAAGUCAACAUCGGCGCUCGAUGGGUUUGUUCCUCAGCAAACACCGAUCCAUGUUUCCAUGUCGUGCAACUUCAGCACGGAUUUCUUAUCUACUGUGCACAAUAACCCAUACAUGCAGGGAAAGCCUCAGCGCUACGCCACUGUGAACCCGAAGAACUUGCGAUUUCCAUGUCGCGGAAGAAAUCACGAGCGAUCGAAAGGAGGAGUCUCGACGCUCGAGAAGGCACCAGCGACUCUUUUGCUCGGAAAGAGCUUUCGGCUGAGAGGAAUUUUCUAGAUCGCGUGAUUUAAUUAAACUUCUUCGCUGUAAUACAUCAUGCUGGAUACCAAUAUAAAUCACGAUCAAGCCUCUCACAA